rnacentral:rRNA from 1 species
CCCUUAGAUGUCCUGGGCCGCACGCGCGCUACACUGAACGGAUCAGCGCGUUUUCCCUUCCCGAGAGGGACGGGUAACCUGCUGAACCUCGUUCGUGGUAGGGAUCGGGGCUUGCAAUUAUUCCCCGUGAACCAGGAAUGCCCAGUAAGUGCAAGUCAUAAGCUUGCGUUGAUUACGUCCCUGCCCUUUGUACACACCGCCCGUCGCUACUACCGAUUGAACGUUUUAGUGAGGUACUCGGACUGAGCCUCAGAAGAUUCACGUCUUUUGUGCUGCUCGGGAAGAUUCCCAAACUUGAGCGUUUAGAGGAAGUAAAAGUCGUAACA